rnacentral:rRNA from 1 species
AUUGAACGCUGGCGGCAUGCUUUACACAUGCAAGUCGAACGGCAGCGCGGGCUUCGGCCUGGCGGCGAGUGGCGAACGGGUGAGUAAUGCAUCGGAACGUGCCCAGUAGUGGGGGAUAGCCCGGCGAAAGCCGGAUUAAUACCGCAUACGACCUGAGGGUGAAAGCGGGGGACCGAAAGGCCUCGCGCUAUUGGAGCGGCCGAUGUCGGAUUAGCUAGUUGGUGGGGUAAAGGCUUACCAAGGCGACGAUCCGUAGCUGGUCUGAGAGGACGACCAGCCAGACGGGGACUGAGAAACGGCCCAGACUCCUACGGGAGGCAGCAGUGGGGAAUGUUGGAAAAAGGGGGCAACCCUGAUCCAGCCAUGCCGCGUGCGGGAAGAAGGCCUUCGGGUUGUAAACCGCUUUUGUUCGGGAAGAAAUCCUCUGGGCUAAUACCCCGGGGGGAUGACGGUACCGGAAGAAUAAGCACCGGCUAACUACGUG